rnacentral:rRNA from 1 species
CCUACGGGUGGCAGCAGUGAGGAAUAUUGGUCAAUGGGGGAGAGCCUGAACCAGCCAAGUAGCGUGAAGGAUGACUGCCCUACGGGUGGUAAACUUCUUUUAUAAAGGAAUAAAGUGAGGCAUGUAUGCCUUUUUGUAUGUACUUUAUGAUUCAGGAUCGGCUAAAUCCGUGCCAGCAGCCGCGGUAAUACGGAGGAUCCGAGCGUUAUCCGGAUUUAGUGGGGUUAAAGGGAGCGUAGAUGGGUUGUUAAGUCAGUUGUGAAAGUUUGCGGCUCAACCGUAAAAUUGCAAUUGAUACUGGCAGUCUUGAGUACAGUUGAGGUAGGCGGAAUUCGUGGUGUAGCGGUGAAAUGCUUAGAUAUCACGAAGAACUCUGAUUGCGAAGGCAGCUUACUAAACUGCCACUGACAUUGAUGCUCGAAAGUGUGGGUAUCAAACAGGAUUAGAUACCCUUGUAGUC